AUUAUUUUAUUCUUAUAAAGAACGUUAAACAAUAGUUAAAAUAGAUGAAAAUAUUAUAAUUUUAGAUAAACCAAUAAUCAAUAUUUAGUAUUAACAAACGAAAGAAAUUUUAAUUUAGUUCACUAUACUUCUUUAACUAAUUAUGUGCCAGCAGUUGCGGUUAUACCUAUAAAGAAAAACGUAUUUUGGUUAAAUAAAAAUAUCUAUAUUAUUAACUAUAUUGAUUAAAGCUAGAAAGUAAAAUAUAUCUUUAAGUAAAUAAUAGUAUGUAUAGUAUCUACAAUUUAAUAUCAGUAUAAUAUAAAAUAGGAUUAGAUACCCUAGUAUAUUUAAAAGAUAAACAUCAACCUAAGUAGUAAUUAAUAGAAUUAUUAAACUUAAAGAAUUUGGCGGUAUUUUAAUCUAUCUAGAGGAACCUGUAGAGUAAACGAUAAACCACGAAGUAUCUUACUUAAUUUAAAAGUUUGUAUACCAUCAUUAAAAAGAUUAUUUUUAAUUAUAAAAAGUAAUCCCAAUUUUUAUUUAAUAAAAUAAAUUAGAUCAAGGUGCAGCUGAUAAUUAAGAUUAAUUUUAUGGGUUACAAUAAAUUAAUUUAACAAACGGAAAAAUAAGAAAGACUUUAUUUUGAAGGAGGAUUUAAUAGUAAUCUUAAUGAAUAUUUUUAUUAUGAAAAUAAGCGCUAAAAUAUGUACACAUCGCCCGUCAUUCUUAUAAAACCUAUAAGACAAGUCGUAACAAAGUAGAUGUUCAAGAAUGAGCCUCUAG
rnacentral:ncRNA from 1 species